rnacentral:lncRNA from 1 species
AAAGAUCGGGCUUUCUCUCUCUAAACCAGAGUAGCGUACAAUAGCAGGCUGCUAUCAUGCGCCCGCCAUGGCCAAAUCGAGAAAAAAGCAACAAUCAACACUAGCGAACAAAGGGAAAGAGGAUUCAGAAGUCACCCCAGCAAUACACCAUCAAAAUCGAUGGUUAAUGGGUAUGGGUUCAGCACCGACUAUGUUCCAUAACCCCGAUCCAGAAGAGGUACAGGAAGCUAUUGUAACGCCGGAGACGGGUAUUCCACAAAGAUUGAAUCAGAUAACUCUCGGGAGUUUCAUGCCCAAGCAAUUUUAACCGAUAGGGGAGGAAAUUGAGGAUUGUCCAAUCCAAGCUCAAGAGGCAGGAACACAAUCACAAUUGCAAGUUCACCGGCGACUGCAAUUUUCUACACAUGCAAAACACGAUCGAUCCAUACCAGUAAAAGCAGACACAGUGAGGAUUGAAAAGGAGCAGAUAUCCAAUCGAAGCCCUCAAAGAGGUAAUGCCUUAAGAUAU